GGUAACUUCCUUCCCCUUCGUGUCCAGCAGCUCCCUCAGCGAAUGUACGGGUGCUGUUGUUCCCUUCAUCGGUUGACCUGUGGUCAGCCCGAAGAAUCGCACAACCCUGGACUCCGCCCUGGCCUCCAGGCACCGCUCCAGUGAAAAAAAGACAUGAACUGGGUACCAGAUGAAGCAUUUUGAAUCAAAUUAGGAAGAAUAUGUGGGUGAAGUUCCAGUAACAGUGGGUCUCUAAACGUUUGUUCUGGUUAAAUACUAGAGGUUUAUUUGAAAUUGGGGGCAGAGACAUCAGUGCCUGACUCAACUCCUCCUCUUCAUUGGAAAUGUUCCCUGCUAGAAGAGGAUAAAUCAGGCCAUGGAUCAGAGGGCCAUCAAGAUCCUGGACACAGCUUAUCACGGUGGUGAUUAAGAAUGAUGCAACUUGAACUCACUUUUGAAGGCAAAGACCAGACUUAAGGCAGGAGGCUGCUACGUGAUCAUCACUUUACAUAUUUGUAAUCCGUCUUUGGCUGUUUGUGUGGAUGCCACACAAAGACCUCUCAAUGUAGACCUAUAAGACAUCUGAAUGUAGGCCCCUCCCUUGCUGUUCUGACACUGACUGUGAAACUGUGGAACAGUAAACACACAAGCCUAGCAGAAAAUGUGUUGGUGUGUGGAAUUAUGUAUGUGGUCCUGGGAGUACCAGUGGAGGUGAGACUGCUUGAAGGGGAACCCCCUUUCUGCACAUAGCAGAAAUUCCCAAAGAGUACUUGAGACUCUCCUCUGGCAGAAGGGAAGAGCAAUGAACAGUUGAAUUUGAUAGUGACCUGACAAAAGUUACAGGAACUAGAAGGGAGAACACUCUUCUUGACCAAUACAACCUGGGAAAGGUGGUUCACCAAGCCAGUCUUGGAUCACUAAGAAGAUGCAUUUAAGCUCCAGAGUCUGCUUUUCUACUUGUUUCGAGUUGCAAGUCAAAAGAUGAUAUCUCCACAAAAGAUGAGGAAGAUUUUUCCCCAACGGCCGCACCUGCCUAUCUUGGAAAAGCUGGGUAUGAACAAAGAUUUGACCAGAAGGAGGGAUGGCAACAACAGAGAAUAGAGAAAAAAAGCCCUCACCUUCCCAGCUUGUUAUGCAGUAUGCAGUACUACUGCUCUACUUAAUGGAAGACAAGAAGUUUUCCUGGCUGAGACAUUACCAUCUAUCCUCUAAAUUCUAAGCUCAUGUCAAUGGCAGUGCAAAUGAUUGACUGCUGCCUUUAAGGUCAUGCAGAGGCAAACAGCUGACCUUGAAACAAAAUUGGUUUACUAUUGUUAAUAUUAUGACUUUAUUAAAUGAAAAAACCAAACCUUCUUUCAGAAGGUGGAAAUUGAUACAUUUUACUAAAAAAUAUGGAGAUUUGUUCUAAGUGUUUGACAUCUACAACUGCUACGUACAAAAGCAAAGGAAAUACGUGUAGAGGGCAGAAACUAUUUACCUAAUUCAGCUUCUGCCUGCAAAUAGUUUUUUGUAGUCCUACAGUUGUGUUAUAAAAGAAGAAAAAAGAUAAUAUAUCUGAAGCAAGGGGGUUUAUUAUGCAGUAAAAUCCCUGUUAUUGGACCAGAUUAUAUACAUGGUGGGGAAAAACAGGUGAGCUUUCUGAUCCAGCUGCUGCCUGAAACAUGGUGUGAGAAAAAUCCUGGGUGUAUGUCAGCUUGUCCAUCAGUUUAACAAUGAGGUACUAUGUCUCUUAUAAAUUUUGUCAUGUACAAUAUAGUACACAGUUGAAAUACAUAAAUCAAAAUCUUUACAUAUAAAACUUGGUAAAUAAUAGAGAAAAAAGUUCAAGAAAAUACUUGGGUUAAAGUCAGAGAGAACAAGUAUUUUUGGAGGGUUUUGAGUAAAAUGAAAAAUAAAAGUUUUCAAUAAGUAAAAUUCUACCUGAAUUAAAACAAAAUGUUUUUCUUUCAGUUUUUGGUAGCCUUUCGCUGUAUUAUAUUUCUACAGGUCAUUUAAACUAUUUUAAAAAAUCAAGGCUUUUGCAAACAAGUCAUAUCUCUGACAUGAAACAUUUUGCUUAUAACUUCAGAGAAAUGUUUCAGCUCCAUUAAUGGAUGUUACCAUUAUCUUUAUUGGUAGGAAACAUACUCCAAACUUGAUGCAUUUGCAAGUAAGAUUUGCUUUCUCCAUCAAGACUCUGUUUAGCAAAGUUGAUGUUAAGCUCCCUUCCCCUUAAAACCAGUUUUAUUACAGUUCAAACUGUGUAGGACUCCAGACUGUUAAAUUAUGCAUAAAAUUCAGUGUUUCUGACAUGUCUUUGGAUUUCUAUCUCUGCAUAUAAUGACUUUGCACUAUACUCUUGUCUAUAUAUCGGUGCAUUUACUUCUGCUUUUGUUAAUCUUACGAUACGCUGUUGAGAUCUUCUGACUUUUGUGAGCUCUGAUGAAAAUCCCUGUAGGAACCAUAUUUACCAUUAAAAAAUUUAAAGAAGCCUGUGUUUUAUUCUCCUUGGGGCUGCCAUCUUAAAAUCUUGAUGUUGCAGCUUUCAGGAUGAAGAGAACAAAACGAUAAAUGGACUCAACUGGAGCAAUGUUUAGGCAAAAAACAGGUUUUAUGUAAUCUUGUUCAGAGUCCAUUCCAUUGAUAAAUAUUCUACUGCAAAAAUGAAGAGAGAGUUAGAUAAAGGCAUAGGGACCCUUGAACUUCUUCAGUCCAUCAAGCUGUUGUUUACUUGAUUGUUUUAUUAAAACAUUCCAUGUUUUUAAUGUAAACCAGAGCAGGUUCCUGUAGCAAGUACUCUCGAGCUUACCUCACCUCUUGUGGUAGGUUUCCUGGGGCCAGCCAAAUGUAAUAUGCUUUUAGAUAACUCCUGUAUCCAGCAGCAAGUCUGAGGUUUGUUUAAAACACUAUUGAGACUCACAUCUGAGCAAACUGAUGCAUAAGAGUCAAGUAUGAACUUGGCAUACUGUACUUUUCAUGAAUUUGCACAGCAACUGCUAAAUUUCAAAAUGAAUACACAUCAGCUAAGCCUAGGGCUAUGAAGACUGACAUCACCCCUCCACCCUGGUCCCAAGCCCUGACAUG